rnacentral:rRNA from 1 species
GAUGAACGCUGGCGGCGUGCCUAAUACAUGCAAGUCGAGCGGACGGACGCGAAGCUUGCUUGUCUGAUGUUAGCGGCGGACGUGAGAGUAACACGUGUAUCACCUACCUAUAAGACUGGGAUAACUUCGGGAAACCGGAUCUAAUACCGGAUAAUAUUUUGAACCGCAUGGUUCAAAAGUAAAAGACGGUCUUGCUGUCACUUAUCGAUGCAUCCGCGCUGCAUUAGCUAGUUGGUAAGGUAACGGCUUACCACGGCAACGAUGCAUAGCCGACCGGAGAGGCUGAUCGGCCGCAUUGGAAGUGAGACACGGACCAGAGUCCUACGGGAGGGAGCAGUAGGGAAUGUUCGGCAAAGGGCGAAAGCAUGACGGAGCAACGCCGAGUGAGUGAUGAAGGUCUUCGGAUCGGAAAAAUCUGUUACUAGGGAAGAACAUAUGUGUAAGGAACUGUGCACAUCUUGACGGUACCUAAUCAGAAAGCCACGGCUAACUACGUG